UGGGCAACCUGCCCCUCUCUCUGGGAUAACCCCGGGAAACCGGGGCUAAUACCGGAUACUCCGGUCGAACCGCAUGGCUCGAUCGGGAAAGCUCCGACGGUCUGGGAUGGGCCCGCGGCCUAUCAGCUUGUUGGUGGGGUAACGGCCUACCAAGGCGACGACGGGUAGCCGGCCUGAGAGGGUGACCGGCCACACUGGGACUGAGACACGGCCCAGACUCCUACGGGAG
rnacentral:rRNA from 1 species